GUCGAGAAUAAUUCACAAUGGGGGAAACCCUGAUGGUGCAACGCCGCGUGGAGGAUGAAGGUCUUCGGAUUGUAAACUCCUGUCAUCUGGGAGUAAGACCUGACGGUGAAUAGCCGGCAGGGUUGAUAGUACCAGAAGAGGAAGGGACGGCUAACUUCGUGCCAGCAGCCGCGGUAAUACGAAGGUCCCAAGCGUUGUUCGGAAUCACUGGGCGUAAAGGGAGCGUAGGCGGCGUGGUAAGUCAGAUGUGAAAUCCCGGGGCUCAACCCCGGAACUGCAUCCGAUACUGCCAUGCUUGAGGGUUGGAGAGGUAGCUGGAAUUCUCGGUGUAGCAGUGAAAUGCGUGGAUAUCGAGAGGAACACUCGUGGCGAAGGCGAGCUACUGGACAACAUCUGACGCUGAGGCUCGAAGGCCAGGGGAGCAAAAGGGAUUAGAUACCCCAGUAGUCC
rnacentral:rRNA from 1 species